AGAAAAGAGACCGCGCGCCACCUGGCCGAGCGCGCAUGCGCCAGCGUCCGCGUCGGGAGUGGCGGGGGUGUUUGUAGCCCUCCCUCCUCCACCUCCGCCACCCCCGCCCCACAGAGAGUCGGGCUCACGCCAUCUUGCCCCCCCGUCCGCGCCCAGCCACCCUUUCCCUUUAGACUCUCUCAGCCCCCUACCCCGCCCCUUUCCAAGCGUGUCCCGGGCCGCCGCCGCAGAAACCGCACCAUCUCUAUCCCCACAUUCUCCACGCGGGACGCGCAGCCGGGUCUACAAGUGUUCUUAGAACAGAGACGAGCUAUCUGGAAUAAGGCCAGCAAGUGACCUGUCCGUUUAAGCCACAGGUAAUUAAAAUUUUCUACUUUUCUCCAUAUAAUUGGAUAGAAAUCUUGGGCACCUUGAUUUUUGGUUCUCUCUUGAUUUUUGGUGUAGGAAUCUGCAAAGAAAGUUAGGCCAUGCCAGUUAAAUCAGAACAUUGAGUAUUCUUGUUGAAAAUAAUACCUGUUUUACUUUAUGGUGAGGUUGAAUAGUGAAAUUAGUUAGAAAUCUACUUAUUAUAUUAAAGACUGGUUUUGCUGAUGGCUCACCUAAAUAGUAAAGAAAAAUAAUUCAACUUAAUGUUUUAUUGUAUUAAUUGAAUUUAUACUGUAGUGGAUAAAACAUUUUAUUGAGUCAAACACAUUUGGUUUGAUUCCUUACUGCUGAGGGUUAAAUGAAGUAACCCAUGUGAUGUGUGUUGGGUGCAGCGAAGCACAUAAGAAGUAUGUACUCAAUAAAUAUUGGCUGCUCUAGCCUUAAGUUUAUUGAAUAAUGGAUCUGGAGAGAUAUUAAUGUUCUGAGAUGCAUUGUGGAUAUGUGCAAAGAGCACUUAAAACUAAUUUCAGAAUCUAGAUGUAGCCCUUUUCUGCCCUAAUUCUCUCUGUGUGAUUUCAAUUAAGGUUUUUAACUUUUCUGAGUCUCAGUUUCCUCAUCAGUAAAACGGAAUUAGCACCUAACCUUAUCCCACCUCCUCCCAGGGUCGCUGGAGGCUUCAGAUGAGAAUUACGUAAAUUGUUGUGUUGUUUUACAGACAUUUAACUAUUUAAUUGAUUUCCUCUCAACUUGUCUACCGACUACCUCCAGUAAAUCUGCAAAAACUGUUUACACAUAUUUUAAUUUGUGAAACAGCAUAGAGUGUAAUAGACACUGUUACCUAAGAUCAUUCUCUUUGACAAAUAAUACUGUACACGCCAGUAAUGGUGCUAUAUUGAUCUGGUUACGGUAUAUUCCCUGUACAAAACAACUCCAUACUACUGCUAAGGGAGAGCCAACGUUUCCAUGGGCACUUGAUGUGUUCCAGACUAAUGCUCCAUCUCAUUUAUCCAAACGUGUCAUUCCCACUUAAUAGGUGAUACUGAUGAGUCUCUUACUUUUCUGGAACGGAUCUGUAAGUUUUUCUUGCGUUAUACUACUGCCUCUGAUAGAAUCUGACUGGUAGUGGAUAUUGAAGGUUAAAUAAGGUUAUGAAUAUUAAAAUAACAUGCUAACUGGCUUAUAGUAUAUACUAGUUGCUGAAAAACUGCUGUGUUCAUUGAAUUCAUAGGGCAGUAAAUAUAAAAUAUUAUAUAAAUACAAACUAUUUAAAAAUCUUGAAGUGUACUUUUGCUAUUUCAAAUGCUAUAGCAGUUUUAUGACUGAAUCCUUUAUAUUUUACUUUAUUCAUAUUAUUUGUUUCUGAAUCUUUAAAAGACUAUUCCUAUCAUAAUAUUCUUCCCCUGAGAGUAUAUGUGUUUAAUAAUAAUACUUUGUGAUAUGUUUUCAAGAAGCUAUACUUUUGCUUGGAUUCUUCAUCAUCAUCGUCACCAUCAUGAACUGAGUGUGUUCUAGGUACCAGGCACUGUCCUAAGUGCUUUGUAUACAUUACUUGAUGUCACCUAUGAGAGGAGUAUUUUUAAUCUCCUUUUUAAAGAUGAGGGAACUGAGGCAGGGAGGUGAUGUGACUUGCCCAAGGUCACCUGGUAAGUGUUAGAGCCUGUGUUUGAAUUCCAGAGCCCAGCUCUUUACAGCUAAACUGUGAGUCGGCAUAGACAGAUACUUCACAACAAAGUUCACUAUGACAGACACAUUGUGGAGGUCUUGUGAGUUAAUUAUAAUCAACUUUUAUUUGUGUGUUCCUUGUGGGAUAGUAGAAAGAACUCUGGACCAGGAGUCAGGGGACCUCAGUUUUAGUCCCAGCUGUGUCACUAAAUAGUGAUGUGUCCUUGGGCAGUUCAAGAAACCCCUCUGGACUUCAGUAUCCUCACCUGAAAAAUGAGGGAUUUGGAUGAAAUUAGUGAUUUUCAAACUGUAGUUCUGAACGUCGGAUGUCUUUGGUCCCUCCCCCCGCCAAUUUCCAUAGUUAUACUUUGUUAUAGUUGUUUAUCCGUCU
rnacentral:lncRNA from 1 species